AUAUCAAAUUAUAAUUUUAAUGCUUAAAGUUUAAAUAUAAGUAAAGAUUUUGCUACAUGAAUGUUUAAUUUGGAACAAUAAACUAAAUGCAAAGUCUUCUACUUUAUUACAUUUAAUUUUGAAAAACGCUGAUCAUAUUUAUUUCAAAAACAUUCUGCAUACAUUGGCCAAGGUAUUAAAGACUUUUAUAAAAAUGUUUCAAAAAGAAAAGUCCAUCGUUAAUACAAAAGUUUUCAAUUUUAUGUCAAAUACUAACCAAAUACAACUAUUGAAAAAACAGGGUAAUAAUUCAUGUUGGGGUAUUAUUCAAGUAAGUUGGGCUUAUAAUUCAUGUUGAAAUAUUUUCAAUAUUGUUCAGACCCACAACAGGUUAAUAGUACCAACCGAAAAAGAUAAGCUGUCUUUUUGACAUUCCACAAUUAGCUUCCUCAGAAAAAAAAAUGUUCGUCUCUGGAUCAAAAUUUUCGGUAAACAGAGAUCUGAUGAAACUUGCUCCAUCAACACAGAUCGUUAAAGGUUGAUUCUGUCAGUGUCGUCUAUGUCUGAAGAAGAUCAGAAAAGUCAUAUCUCAAGACAAAAAAAAAAAUAUCUGGAGCUAAAGGAUACAGAAAGAUCGAUCUCUUCAGAAUAUGUUUCAUGUCACCCGAUGAGUUAUGCCGUUAAAUGCUUGUGGAUCAAUGAUCGGGAGAAAAUUUCUUACUCAAUACCUUCAACUUCUUGUUCUAAAGAUAAGUCUUCAAUUUUUCUCACAUUUUUAAAGUUGUAUGCUAUAAUAUAAUAUCCGUUCAUAUUCAAAUGUUGCAUUUUGAUCUAUGUUUGAUUUUACUGAAUGGUUUGAAAAUUUGUAUCAAUACAUACUUGAGGACACAAGCUUUCGUAUACAUACUUGAGGACACAAGCUUUCGUACUUUAGUUGAUUUAUUAUUUAAUCAAAGUUUCGAGA